CUACGGGAGGCUGCAGUGGGGAAUUUUGCGCAAUGGGGGAAACCCUGACGCAGCAACGCCGCGUGAAGGAUGAAGGCCUUUGGGUCGUAAACUUCUGUCAGAGGGGAAGAAAUACUCGCAAGAGUGCUGACGGUACCCUCAAAGGAAGCACCGGCUAACUCCGUGCCAGCAGCCGCGGUAAUACGGAGGGUGCAAGCGUUGUUCGGAAUUAUUGGGCGUAAAGAGCAUGUAGGCGGACUGUUAAGUCUGGUGUGAAAGCCCGGGGCUCAACCCCGGAAGUGCAUUGGAUACUGGCAGUCUUGAGUAUGGGAGAGGAAAGUGGAAUUCCGAGUGUAGGAGUGAAAUCCGUAGAUAUUCGGAGGAACACCAGUGGCGAAGGCGGCUUUCUGGACCAAUACUGACGCUGAGAUGCGAAAGCGUGGGGAGCAAACAGGAUUAGAUACCCUGGUAGUC
rnacentral:rRNA from 1 species